rnacentral:rRNA from 1 species
GACGAACGCUGGCGGCGUGCCUAAUACAUGCAAGUUGAGCGCUGAAGGUCGGUACUUGUACCGACUGGAUGAGCAGCGAACGGGUGAGUAACGCGUGGGGAAUCUGCCUUUGAGCGGGGGACAACAUUUGGAAACGAAUGCUAAUACCGCAUAAAAACUUUAAACACAAGUUUUAAGUUUGAAAGAUGCAAUUGCAUCACUCAAAGAUGAUCCCGCGUUGUAUUAGCUAGUUGGUGAGGUAAAGGCUCACCAAGGCGAUGAUACAUAGCCGACCUGAGAGGGUGAUCGGCCACAUUGGGACUGAGACACGGCCCAAACUCCUACGGGAGGCAGCAGUAGGGAAUCUUCGGCAAUGGACGAAAGUCUGACCGAGCAACGCCGCGUGAGUGAAGAAGGGUUUCGGAUCGUAAAACUCUGUUGGUAGAGAAGAACGUUGGUGAGAGUGGAAAGCUCAUCAAGUGACGGUAACUACCCAGAAAGGGACGGCUAACUACGUG